UUAGUAGAGGUGCAUUUUUCAAUAGUACCUGUUUUGAUGCAGUAAGGUGCAUAUGAUAAACAGGAAAAGGGGACGGUGCCGAAGUUUGAUUAUUCCUUACAAUAUUCUUUCUGGUUUUUAUGGAUAAUAUCUGUAUGAACUGUCAUCAUAAUUUUGAUGGAGUGCUACUAU
rnacentral:ncRNA from 1 species